rnacentral:piRNA from 1 species
CUAGUCAGACCCUUUACACUGUCGAUGGACU